rnacentral:rRNA from 1 species
CCUACGGGAGGCAGCAGUGGGGAAUUUUGGACAAUGGGCGCAAGCCUGAUCCAGCCAUGCCGCGUGCGGGAAGAAGGCCUUCGGGUUGUAAACCGCUUUUGUCAGGGAAGAAAAGGUUCUGGUUAAUACCUGGGACUCAUGACGGUACCUGAAGAAUAAGCACCGGCUAACUACGUGCCAGCAGCCGCGGUAAUACGUAGGGUGCAAGCGUUAAUCGGAAUUACUGGGCGUAAAGCGUGCGCAGGCGGUUAUGCAAGACAGAGGUGAAAUCCCCGGGCUCAACCUGGGAACUGCCUUUGUGACUGCAUAGCUAGAGUGCGGCAGAGGGGGAUGGAAUUCCGCGUGUAGCAGUGAAAUGCGUAGAUAUGCGGAGGAACACCGAUGGCGAAGGCAAUCCCCUGGGCCUGCACUGACGCUCAUGCACGAAAGCGUGGGGAGCAAACAGGAUUAGAUACCCUGGUAGUCCACGCCCUAAACGAUGUCAACUGGUUGUUGGGAGGGUUUCUUCUCAGUAACGUAGCUAACGCGUGAAGUUGACCGCCUGGGGAGUACGGCCGCAAGGUUGAAACUCAAAUGAAUUGACCGGNUGAGAGNGCGAGACGACGACGAGGGAGGAGG